CUACGGGCCGCUCCAGUAAAGAAUCUUUCGCAAUGGAGGAAACUCUGACGAAGCAAUACCGCGUGCGCGAUGAAGGCCGAAAGGUUGUAAAGCGCUUUUCUGAGGGAAGAAUUCUGACGGUACCUCAGGAAUAAGCACCGGCUAACUCCGUGCCAGCAGCCGCGGUAAUACGGAGGGUGCAAGCGUUACCCGGAAUCAUUGGGCGUAAAGCGUCCGCAGGCUGUUUAUUAAGUUAAGCAUUAAAUCUUGUAGCCCAACUGCAAGGCUGUGCUUAAAACUGAUAAACUAGAGUCUUUCAGGGGUGCGUAGAAUUCUGUGUAUAGGGGUAACAUCCGUAGAUACACAGAGGAAUACCAAAAGCGAAAGCAACGCACUGGGGAAGUACUGACGCUCAUGGACGAAAGCGCGGGUAGCGAACAGGAUUAGAUACCCUUGUAGUC
rnacentral:rRNA from 1 species